AAACAUUCUUUUAACUCUUCCGUGAUAUUUUCUGAAGCUCUGAAAGAAUUUCCCCUUUUAAAGAAUUGACGUAUAAAAUAUAUGCACUCUCCCACUAGAGAUACGAGCUACUUUAGUCCCGUAUUUUAUUAUUGCAGGGAUAGAUAAGUGGACAGAUGCUGUCAAGCAUUCAAAUAAUCGACCUAUAAAGGGCUAGACAUAGAAAGACAUAAUUUCCCUGACCUCUCCAACACGCAGUCUAUUCUCACUCUGGAGGAUGAAAUGCAAAGACUCAACUCCAAGAAUGAAGUACCCUUGGCUGUGUACAUUUGAGUAAAGAGAGCACUAUAAAAUCAAAAACCAAUGAAAUGGUUUCCAGAACACAGAACUAUUAAGCUUAAGAAAAGGACAGAAGGAACUGAAGAGAGAGGAACUGUUUUGGAGCAUCACACUUCCACCUCAGAAGAAAUAAGGAAGGAAGGAGGAGGGUGUUCCCACGGCUCUUCAACCAGGCCGGCUCUUCAGCCUACAUCCCCAUCUCAUCAAGUAAAAGGGAUUUUUCAACUGGACCAACCAGAUGGUUUAACAGUGCACUCCCACACCAUUCAACUACGCAAGGGAGAUACACUUAACAUAUGCAGUCGUAUAACACCUACUAACAUUUUCAAACAUUAAACCUUUAAAAAAGAGUUCUAAAGAAAUAGAAGCUUGAAGUAUCAUCUCUCAAGUAUAUAGACACUACUUCAUGGUGUGGUAAUAUAUGCAUAUAGAAGCUAGUAAACACCUCCAGGAGAUGCAAAAGGAAUUAGAACUGCCACAAGGUGCAAGCA
rnacentral:lncRNA from 1 species